GGUAGUGUUGCCGAGUAGAUAAGGCACUGGAUUGGGACUCUGAAGACUUGAGUUCUCUUCCCAUCUCUGCCA
rnacentral:tRNA from 1 species